rnacentral:pre_miRNA from 1 species
UUAACUCAAAUUUGUAUGGAGUUGGAACAGCGCCCCUAGCGUCAAACGUAGGCAAACGUUCCAACUCCAUACAAAUUUGAGUUA